AUUGAACGCUGGCGGCAGGCCUAACACAUGCAAGUCGAACGAGUGGCGGACGUGUGAGUAGUGUCUGGGAAACUGCCCGAUGGAGCGGGAUCAUUACCGGUAAAGAUAACUACUACCACAGAACAUCAGACAUGCCCAGAUGGGAGUGGCCAGUAGGUGGGGUAAUGGGGCACCUGGGCGACGAUCUCUAGCUGGUCUGAGAGGAUGACCAGCCGCACUGGAACUGUGACACGGUCCAGACUCCUACGGGAGGCAGCAGUGGGGAAUAUGGCACAAUGGGGGCAAGCCUGAUGCAGCCAUGCCGCGUGUAUGAAGAAGGCAUUCGGGUUGUAAAGUACUUUCAGCGAGGAGGCGUUACUCGCAGAAGAAGCACCGGCUAACUCCGUGCCAGCAGCCGCGGUAAUAC
rnacentral:rRNA from 1 species